rnacentral:lncRNA from 1 species
CCUUUAGGAUUAACACUAUUUACCACAGUAACUCUAGUUUUACUAGAGUGUUUAUUGGGCCAACAAGGCUUCACGUAGAUGGGCUUCUCUAUGGGUUCCACGAGUCAAGCCAGUUCAUGUGGGUUAAAUGAGCCCCCAUUUAAUAUUUUGACCUCUAUGGGACAUUUUGUGUAACAACCCGUUUUCAGUAAAAUCGAAACAGUGGUUUCAAGACCACAAAUUUGACUUAAAAGUAUUUAUGUUUGUAAUGGUCAAUUUUUGGCCCGGACAAACAAAACAAUAACAAAACCCAAAACAAUAAAAAAGAGCCCAAAUAACAGCCCACUAAUCUUAAGAAUUUUCAGCAGCCAACCCUAGCCCCAAGCCUCCAGCCGCCGCUCCCCACGUGCUCGGGCAGCACGUUCAACGCUCGGCCACCACACCUCGCGUAUGCCCUCCUCCUCAAUGCGCCUGACACUCCCAUAACCUGCAAACUUUUGGAAAAGAGGAAAAGAUGGCAGCAAGAAGCACAAGCAGUAGCAGAGAAUAAGACAAACAAUAUUUUAAUAUGGGAAUCGGCUAUAAAGCCGAAAUGAAACUGAUUGUAAAGGGGGAUUUCGAUAUACAAAAAUUGUAUUACGCAUGUUAAGUAAUCAAAAACAAAAUACAAGCAAAAAGGUUGAGAUUAAUCUCCUGUUUCAUUUUCUAUUGUUUUCUAGUUUCUGUUAUUUCAUUUAUAUUUAUUAUUAUUAUUUCUUAUUUUCUUUUACAAAUCUAUUAAACAAAACGAAUAAAAAGAAAAAGGAAGAGAAGAAAGCCUCACCGGAAACGCCCGUGGCUUCACCAUCAGAGAUUUCUCCUCCGUCGUUGGGGCUAAAAAGGGGUGGGGAUCCUUUCUUUCGUUUCUUUUCGAGUAAAAGGGCUAGGCUCAUGAACUUCUUUUGGAACGCGGCCUUUCGGGUUCACCUGGAAUGGGGCUAAAGAGUCCUUUUCGUGCAACGCCGGCC